GGUCAGAUGGCCGAGCGGUUAUGGCGCCAGGUUAAGGUUACCUUAACAAGUAAAUUCCUGGUGGAGCAAUCCUCGUGGGUUCGAAUCCCACUCUGAUCA